UACGGGGGGGGCAAGCGUUGUUCGGAAUUACUGGGCGUAAAGGGCUCGUAGGCGGCCAACUAAGUCAUACGUGAAAUCCCUCGGCUUAACCGGGGAACUGCGUCUGAUACUGGAUGGCUUGAGAUUGGGAGAGGGAUGCGGAAUUCCAGGUGUAGCGGUGAAAUGCGUAGAUAUCUGGAGGAACACCGGUGGCGAAGGCGGCAUCCUGGACCAACACUGACGCUGGGGAGCGAAAGCCAGGGGAGCAAACGGG
rnacentral:rRNA from 1 species